rnacentral:lncRNA from 1 species
UAAGUAUACGCUUACGAGUAGUUGUAGUGUUAGUGUCUAAAACGGCGGCGGAGCGAAAUUAGGUGAGCUAAUUAACGACUCCAUUAUAUAUUACAGUCUUCUUAAUUAUCAUAAAGUGAUGUGAAUUGUACAUUUUGCUUAUACGAUAGAUGGCAAAUAUUACAGAUCCGCGAUGUUGUUGUGAUGAGUUGUAAGAAUUUAAAUACGAAUACUUUUUAAAUAAUUGAAUCCUAAAUUUUAUUUUAAGUUGUGUAUUUUUAAAAAGUAUAUAUUUUCGGUGACUAGUUAAGAUGCAUCUUGUGAUCCUAUCAUAUCAACUUUUGCUUCAAACUUUUCGAUGAUUUUUUUUUGUAGUCGGUAAAGCAGGACGGCGAUAGAAUUUUAAAAUCAAUCGAUCGAAUGGAUUAUGACUCGGUAAUGAUUUGUAGACGUUGUGCUACGGUGUCACUGUCUAAUUGUCCAUAUAUAUGUGUCUCCAUUUUUUUUUUCUUAUAAUAGGUCGGGAUCUAUUAUAAUGUAUUUGUACAAUACACCACAACAAAUAAAAGAGCUAGCUUUGGCAGAAAAAACAAAUAAUAAAGUUCAAAAAGAAAGAUCAUGUGGAUUGGUGAUAGUUGUAGAUUUGUAGAUUUUUUUCUGUCUAUCACUCUAUUGAUGAUGUAUUACGUC